CAACUACUCCCUCUGUCCCAAAUUUCUUGUCUUAGAUUUGUCUAGAUAUGGAUGUAUCUAAUACUAAAAUGUGACUUGAUACAUCCAUAUCUAGACAAAUCUAAGACAAUAAUUUUGGGACGGAGGGAGUACUGU
rnacentral:pre_miRNA from 1 species